GCCCGGGUGGCACAAUUGGCUAGCGCGUGAGACUUUUAAUCUCAAGGUUGGGGGUUCGAGUGAGUUUCCACGUU